AUUGAACGCUGGCGGCAUGCUUUACACAUGCAAGUCGAACGGUAACAGGCCGCCAGGUGCUGACGAGUGGCUUACGGGCGGGUAAUGCAUCGGAACGUGCCCAGUCGGGGGGGAUAACUACUCGAAAGAGUAGCUAAUACCGCAUACGAUCUAUGUGUGUAAUCGGGGGACCGUAAGGCCUCGCGCGAAUGGAGCGGCCGCUGUCAGAUUAGGUAGUUGGUGGGGUAAAGGCUCACCAAGCCAACGAUCUGUAGCUGGUCUGAGAGGACAACCGGCCACACUGGGACUGAGACACGGCCCAGACUCCUACGGGAGGCAGCAGUGGGGAAUUUUGGACAAUGGGCGCAAGCCUGAUCCAGCAAUGCCGCGUGCAGGAAGAAGGCCUUCGGGUUGUAAACUGCUUUUGUACGGAACGAAACGGCUCUGGUUAAUACCCGGGGCUAAUGACGGUACCGUAAGAAUAAGCACCGGCUAACUACGUG
rnacentral:rRNA from 1 species